rnacentral:rRNA from 1 species
UACGUAGGGGGCAAGGCGUUGUCCGGAUUUAUUGGGCGUAAAGAGCGUGUAGGCGGCCUGACAGGUCUGCUGUGAAAACUCGAGGCUCAACCUCGAGAUGUCGGCGGAAACCGUCUGGCUAGAGUCCGGAAGAGGAGAGUGGAAUUCCUGGUGUAGCGGUGAAAUGCGGCAGAUAUCAGGAAGAACACCUAUGGCGAAGGCAGCUCUCUGGGACGGUACUGACGCUGAGACGCGAAAGCGUGGGGAGCGAACAGG